CGGGAAUUUUGGGCAAUGGGCGAAAGCCUGACCCAGCAACGCCGCGUGAGGGAUGAAGUAUUUCGGUAUGUAAACCUCGAAAGAAUGGGAAGAAUAAAUGACGGUACCAUUUAUAAGCUCCGGCUAACUACGUGCCAGCAGCCGCGGUAAUACGUAGGGAGCAAGCGUUGUUCGGAUUUACUGGGCGUAAAGGGCGCGUAGGCGGCGCGGUAAGUCACUUGUGAAAUCUCUGAGCUUAACUCAGAACGGCCAAGUGAUACUGCUGUGCUAGAGUGCGGAAGAGGCUACCGGGAUUCUGGGUGUAGCGGUGAAAUGCGUAGAUAUCAAGAGGAACACCUGAGGCGAAGGCGGGUUGCUGGGCCGACACUGACGCUGAUGCGCGAAAGCCAGGGGAGCAAACG
rnacentral:rRNA from 1 species